GGCGAGGUAGCUCAGUAGGUUAGAGCAACGGAAUCAUAAUCCGUGUGUCGUGGGUUCGAAUCCCUCCCUCGCUA
rnacentral:tRNA from 1 species